GGAGGCGUGCCAGAGCGGCCGAAUGGGGCUCCCUGCUAAGGAGUUGUCCCUCCGGGGACCGCAGGUUCAAAUCCUGUCGCCUCCGCAA
rnacentral:tRNA from 1 species